rnacentral:rRNA from 1 species
GCAAGUCGAGCGCUUUCCUUCGGGAAGGAGCGGCGGACGGGUUAGUAACGCGUGGGAAUAUACCCUUCACUAUGGAAUAGCCUUUGGAAACGAAGAGUAAUACCAUAUACGCCCUUCGGGGGAAAGAUUUAUCGGUGAAGGAUUAGCCCGCGUAAGAUUAGAUAGUUGGUGGGGUAAUGGCCUACCAAGCCUACGAUCUAUAGCUGGUUUGAGAGGAUGAUC